GGAGAGUAGGUAAAUAUUGGUUUGUUGCGGCUUACUGCUAAUGAGUUCUACGACAGUAGUGAAGGUUCGAUUCCUUUGCUCUCCGC
rnacentral:tRNA from 1 species